CGGCGGACGGGUGAGUAACACGUGGAUAACCUACCUAUAAGACUGGGGUAACUUCGGGAAACCGGAGCUAAUACCGGAUAAUAUAUUGAACCGCAUGGUUCAAUGGUGAAAGACGGUUUUGCUGUCACUUAUAGAUGGAUCCGCGCCGCAUUAGCUAGUUGGUAAGGUAACGGCUUACCAAGGCAACGAUGCGUAGCCGACCUGAGAGGGUGAUCGGCCACACUGGAACUGAGACACGGUCCAGACUCCUACGGGAGGCAGCAGUU
rnacentral:rRNA from 1 species